UAAUAAUGGUGAGGGAAAUUUUUUGGCAUACUUUUAAAUCUCUCCCAAUCUUGGUAGGGAUUCUCUUCUUCUUUCUAUCUAAAACUCAGAAAUCUUACUUUUCAGACG
rfam:Capsicum annuum cultivar Zunla-1 chromosome 2, whole genome shotgun sequence